AGUGAAGCGGGAUGAGCUCAAAUUUAAAAUCUGGCUGGUUUACUAGUCCGAAUUGUAGUUUAUAGAAGCGUUUUCGGUGGCAGCCUGGGUAUAAAUCCUUUGGAAUAGGGUAUCAUAGAGGGUGAGAAUCCCGUCUUUGACUCAGUGCAUGCUACUAUGUGAUACGUUUUCAAAGAGUCGAGUUGUUUGGGAAUGCAGCUCAAAAUGGGUGGUAAAUUUCAUCUAAGGCUAAAUAUUGGCGAGAGACCGAUAGCGAACAAGUACCGUGAGGGAAAGAUGAAAAGAACUUUGAAAAGAGAGUUAAACAGUGCGUGAAAUUGUUGAAAGGGAAACGUUUGACACCAGUUAUGCGGGUGGAAAAUCAGUCUUUUGCAGUGGGGAGUUGUGGGCGUUCAGACCGCAAGGCUGGCGUUUGCUUCAUCUUUGCUGUAAGUGAUGCACUUUUUCAUUUGCAGGUCAACAUCAGUUUGCUUUGCUGGACAAAACCCCAAGGGAAGGUGGCAGCUUAGGCUGUGUUAUAGCCCUGGGGCGAUACAGUGGAGUGGACUGAGGUUUUCGCAGUGUGUGCUCUCGGGCAAGGCUGACUGGGUGCUAUGGGAUCGUUCGGUGUACAAUGCAUGCAUUUUGCGCCGUGUCUUUUUCAUACUCGCUCAACUCGGCUCUUCCACACUUAGGAUGUUGACUUAAUGGUUUUAAACGACCCGUCUUGAAACACGGACCAAGGAGUCUAACAUAUAUGCAAGUGUUUGGGUGGCAAACCCAUGCGCGUAAUGAAAGUGAACGUAGGUGCGAUCCGCAAGGUGCAGCAUCGACCGAUCUUGAUAUUUUUGGAUAGAUUUGAGUAAGAGCAUAUAUGCUGGGACCCGAAAGAUGGUGAACUAUGCCUGAAUAGGGUGAAGCCAGAGGAAACUCUGGUGGAGGCUCGUAGCGAUUCUGACGUGCAAAUCGAUCGUCAAAUUUGGGUAUAGGGGCGAAAGACUA
rnacentral:rRNA from 1 species